UGCCCUGGGAAGCCACUGUUCUUGCCCAGCCUCAGGAACCAUGGGAUCAAACACAGCAGGGGUGUAAGUGAAUAAACCAGAGGUGAACCAGGCAGAGAUGUCCAGAAGAGUGCAGUCUGGGGCACCGGGAGAAAUGGACCCUGGGUACGGCCCAGCCAGUGCCCUUACUCCCAGCAGGGGGAGCUCCGUGACCUCCACACCCCCCACCCCCAAAGAUGGAAUUUCAGGCCAAGGGAAGGGCUUCCUUGCUCAGAAUCCUAGCGGAAAGGAGGGCAGACUGAUGACAAAUCGACCCUGAGACUGUGAUUGAUCCUCUCUGUGUCUGCAACACUGAAGUGGAGUUCUGUUUUCUGAGCCUGCAGGUGCUCAGGGCAACGAGCGUGCUGGCCUGCCCCUGAGCAGGGUCUGCAGUCUGUGGAGAGGUUAUCUGUUAAGGCUCGAAUCUGCCACCAUCCCAGCUGCCUGCACCUGCAAUAAAUACCUCCCGUUCUCUUUUCCAA